rnacentral:lncRNA from 1 species
GAAAAUUAUGUAAUGGCUUUAGAAGCUUCUGAUAGGCUAGUUGACAUAAUUUGAGUCAAUUGGAGGUGUACCUGUGGAUGUAUUUCAAUGCCUACCUUCAAACUCAGUGCCUCUUUGCUUGACAUCAUGGGAAAAUCAAAAUAAAUCAACCAAGACCUCAGAAAAAGAAUUGUAGACCUCCACAAGUCUGGUUCAUCCUUGGGAGCAAUUUCCAAAGGCCUGACGGUAUUGGAGUGGCCAUCACAAAGCCCUGACCUCAAUCCAAAAGAAAAGUUGUGGGCAGAACUGAAAAAGUGUGUGAGCAAGGAGGCCUACAAACCUGACUCAGUUACACCAGCUCUGUCAAGAGGAAUGGUCCAAAAUUCACCCAACUUAUUGUGGGAAGCUUGUGGAGGGCUACCCGAAAAGUUUGACCCAAGUUAAACAAUUUAAAGGCAAUGCUACCAAAUACUAAUUGAGUGUAUGUUAACUUCUGACCCACUGGAAAUGUGAUGAAAGAAAUAAAAGCUGAAAUAAAUAUUAUUCUGACAUUUCACAUUCUUAAAAUAAAGUGGUGAUCCUAACUGACCUAAGACAGGGAAUUUUUUACUAGGAUUAAAUGUAAGGAAUUGUGAAAAACUGAGUUUAAAUGUAUUUGGCUAAGGUGUAUGUAAACUUCUGACUUCAAUUGUACAUAGGGCAGCAGUUUCUCAGGUGCAGGGUUGAGUACCGGGUGGUAGCUGGCUUGUCUAAGAUUCAGGGCAGGGUACUGAUGACUGUUUAACAGUCUGAUGGCCUGGAAAUACAAGCGGUGUAUCAGUUUCUUGGUUCCAGUUUUGAUGCACCUGUGCUGUCUCUGCUUGUAGAUGGUAGCGGGUUGAACAGGCUGUGGUUGGGGUGGCUGAGCUUCCUUGAUGAUCUUCUGGGCCUUCCUUUGACACUGGGUGCUAUAUAUGUCCUGGAGGGCAUUCUGGUGACCUAUUGAAAAUAGUUCAACAAUGAUAUAGCAAAUUAAGAUGUGUGAUUAAGAUGUGUGACCACCCCUUAAGAUGUGUGACCACCCC